UCCCGGCUGGUCCAACUGGCACGACGCCCGACUCUGGAUCGGGCAAUAGAGGUUCGACUCCUCUGCCGGGAAC
rnacentral:tRNA from 1 species